rnacentral:rRNA from 1 species
AUUGAACGCUGGCGGCAGGCCUAACACAUGCAAGUCGAGCGAGCGGCGGACGGGUGAGUAAUGUAUGGGGACUGCCCGAUAGAGGGGGAUAACUACUGUAAACGGUGGCUAAUACCGCAUACUAUCGGAUAACCCAUAUGGGAUUAGCUAGUAGGUGGGGUAAAGGCUCACCUAGGCGACGAGCUCUCUCUGGUCUGAGAGGAUGAUCAGCCACACUGGGACUGAGACACGGCCCAGAAUCCUAGGGAGGCAGCAGUGGGGAAUAUUGGACAAUGGGGGAAAGCCUGAUGCAGACAUGCCGCGGGUAUGAAGAAGGCCUUAGGGUUGUAAAGUACGUUCAGCGGGGAGGCGUUACCCGCAGAAGAAGCAACGGCUAACUCCGUGCCAGCAGCCGCGGUAAUUC